rnacentral:rRNA from 1 species
UACAGAGGUCCCGAGCGUUAUUCGGAUUUAUUGGGCGUAAAGGGUGCGUAGGUGGCAAAGUAAGUUGGAUGUGAAAUCCUGGGGCUUAACCUCAGAAUUGCAUUCAAUACUGCUUAGCUAGAGAGCUGUAGAGGAGACUGGAAUUUACGGUGUAGCAGUGAAAUGCGUAGAUAUCGUAAGGAACGCCAGUGGCGAAAGCGAGUCUCUGGGCAGCAUCUGACACUGAGGCACGAAGGCCAGGGGAGCAAACGGG